rnacentral:rRNA from 1 species
CGCGGCCUAUCAGCUUGUUGGUGGGGUAACGGCCCACCAAGGCCAUGACGGGUAGCUGGUCUGAGAGGACGAUCAGCCACACUGGGACUGAGACACGGCCCAGACUCCUACGGGAGGCAGCAGCAGGGAAUUUUGCACAAUGGGCGCAAGCCUGAUGCAGCGACGCCGCGUGGGGGAUGAAGGCCUUCGGGUCGUAAACCCCUUUCAGGAGGGACGAAGCGAAAGUGACGGUACCUCCAGAAGAAGCCCCGGCCAACUACGUGCCAGCAGCCGCGGUAAUACGUAGGGGGCGAACGUUGUCCGGAUUUAUUGGGCGUAAAGAGCUCGUAGGCGGCUCAGCAAGUCGGCCGUGAAAGCCCGGGGCUCAACCCCGGGACGCCGGUCGAAACUGCUGUGGCUAGGGUCCGGUAGAGGAGAGUGGAAUUCCCGGUGUAGCGGUGAAAUGCGCAGAUAUCGGGAGGAACACCAGUAGCGAAGGCGGCUCUCUGGGCCGGUACCGACGCUGAGGAGCGAAAGCUAGGGGAGCAAACAGGAUUAGAUACCCUGGUAGUCCUAGCCGUAAACGUUGGGCACUAGGUGUGGCGGACUCAUUGACGUCUGCCGUGCCGCAGCUAACGCAUUAAGUGCCCCGCCUGGGGAGUACGG